GGUUGAUCCUGCCAGUAGUACUCGCUUGUUUCAACGACUAAGCCAUGCAUGUCUAAGUAUAAGCACUUGUACUGUGAAACUGCGAAUGGCUCAUUAUAUCAGUUAUAAUUUAUUUGAUAGUCAUUACUACUUGGAUAACCGUGGUAAUUCUAGAGCUAAUACAUGCAUCAAGGCCUGACUGCUUGCGGAAAGGCUGUAUUUAUUAGAUAAAAAACCAAUGCCCAGCAAUGGGCCAUGGUGAUUCAUGAUAACUGCACGGAUCGUAUGACCUCGCGUCGACGACGUAUCAUUC
rnacentral:rRNA from 1 species